AAGCUGUUAUCCACUGCUGGAAACACCACGUCAAACCUCAACAAACACCUGCAAAGAACACAUGCUAAGGUUCUGAAGUACAGUAUAAGAAAACAAUACAUGUGCAGACCCCAGGCAGUGCGGGUGGGAAAACAUCACAUCCUCCACCCUGACCCUCAACACCGGAGCCCCUCAAGGCUGCGUGCUCAGCCCUCGCCUCUACUCUCUGUUCACACAUGACUGCGUGGCCACACACAGCUCCAACACCAUUGUGAAGUUUGCUGACGACACGACCGUCAUUGGCCAGAUCACCGACUGCGACGAGACGGCGUACAGAGAGGAGGUCGAAAACCUGACAUCUUGGUGCCAGGAUAACAACCUCCAUCUCAACGUCAGCAAAACCAAGGAGCUGGUUGUGGAUUACAGGAAGCAGAAAAAAAAAAAGUAUUUAUCUAUUUAUAUCCUAUUCCGAUAGCUUGCAUAUAGACUCUUAUUGCACUAUUUCACUUUUUUAAACAAUUUUUCUUUUUGUAUUACUAUUUACUUGCACUAUAUUUUUCUGUUUAUCUGUUUUUUGUGUUGCACUGUUGGAGAAGCCUGUGACACGAGAUUUUCAUCGGCAUAAUUACUCUGUAGCUAUGUUCGUAUGACUAAAUAAAUAACCUUGAACCUUGAUACCACUGAAUAAAUAAAGAGGAAACACUGAGA